GAUGAACGCUGGCGGCGUGCCUAAUACAUGCAAGUCGAGCGAACGGACGAGAAGCUUGCUUCUCUGAUGUUAGCGGCGGACGGGUGAGUAACACGUGGAUAACCUACCUAUAAGACUGGGAUAACUUCGGGAAACCGGAGCUAAUACCGGAUAAUAUUUUGAACCGCAUGGUUCAAAAGUGAAAGACGGUCUUGCUGUCACUUAUAGAUGGAUCCGCGCUGCAUUAGCUAGUUGGUAAGGUAACGGCUUACCAAGGCAACGAUGCAUAGCCGACCUGAGAGGGGGAUCGGCCACACUGGAACUGAGACACGGUCCAGACUCCUACGGGAGGCAGCAGUAGGGAAUCUUCCGCAAUGGGCGAAAGCCUGACGGAGCCACGCCGCGUGAGUGAUGAAGGUCUUCGGAUCGUAAAACUCUGUUAUUAGGGAAGAACAUAUGUGUAAGUAACUGUGCACAUCUUGACGGUACCUAAUCAGAAAGCCACGGCUAACUACGUG
rnacentral:rRNA from 1 species